rnacentral:rRNA from 1 species
GACGAACGCUGGCGGCGCGCCUAACACAUGCAAGUCGAGCGAAGCGGCGAACGGGUGAGUAACGCGUGAGGAACCUGCCUCUUACAACGGGAUAGCCUCGGGAAACCGGGAUUAAUACCGUAUAGUAAGAGAUGGCCUCGCGUCUGAUUAGUUAGUUGGUGGGGUAACGGCCUACCAAGACGACGAUCAGUAACCGGCCUGAGAGGGAGAACGGUCACAUUGGAACUGAGAAACAGUCCAGACUCGUACGGGAUGGAGGAGAGGGGAAUCUUGCAAAAUGGGGGAAACCCUGAAGCAGCGACGCCGGGUGAGCGAUGAAGGUUUUCGAAUCGUAAAGCUCUGUCCUAUGGGAAGCGGUACCAAAGGAGGAAGCCCCGGCUAACUACGUGCCAGCAGCCGCGGUAAUAC